AAAGCUUUAUCCGCCCCAGCCAAUGUUCGUAGAAUGGAGGCGUGGUGAUAUCAAUAUCGAGUUGUCCGAUUGCUCAGAGGAAAAUGAAGAGAAAAUCAGUGAAAAGAUACUAGGUGAAAGGGAUAUGUACCUCGUUGAAGGUAAACAAUUCUCCUUUAAAGUGAAGCCACUCGAGUCAGAGGCAAGCCAAAGGUUCCUCCAAUUCACCUUGGAUCAAAGAAAGUCUUCUUCUUACCCUACCCUGAUUCAAUUCGACUUGUCAUAUGAUGCAGCAACAACACACGUGGAAACAACACCAGCAGCAGGAGCAGCAUUUUGUGCAAUGGAUGCAGGGUCAACGCA